UACGGAGGGGGCAAGCGUUGUUCGGAAUUACUGGGCGUAAAGGGCUUGUAGGCGGCCCGCUAAGUCACACGUGAAAUCCCUCAGCUUAACUGGGGAACUGCGUGGGAGACUGGCGGGCUUGAGUGCAGGAGAGGAAAGCGGAAUUCCAGGUGUAGCGGUGAAAUGCGUAGAUAUCUGGAGGAACACCGGUGGCGAAGGCGGCAUCCUGGACCGGUAUUGACGCUGAGGCGCGAAAGCUAGGGGAGCGAACGGG
rnacentral:rRNA from 1 species